rnacentral:rRNA from 1 species
GACGAACGCUGGCGGCGUGCCUAAUACAUGCAAGUAGGACGCAGUUGCGAACGGGUGAGUAACGCGUAGGUACCUGCCUAUUCGAGGGGGAUAACUAUUGGAAACGAUAGCUAAUACCGCAUACUAGUAGAUGGCCCUGCGUUGUAUUAGCUAGUAGGUAGGGUAAUGGCCUAUCUAGGCGACGAUACAUAGCCGACCUGAGAUGGUGAGCGGCCACACUGGGACUUGGACACUGCCCAGACCCCUACGGGAGGACGCAGUAGGGAAUCUUAGUCAAUUGGGUGAACCCUGACCGAGCAACGCCGCGUGAGUGAAGAAGGUUUUCGGAUCGUAAAGCUCUGUUGUUAAGGAAGCGGUACUUAACCAGAAAGGGACGGCUAACUACGUGCCAGCAGCCGCGGUAAUUC